AGAGCCGCCCGGGCGGACGCCGGCCCCUUUGAGGGCGGGAGGAAAGUCCGGGCUCCACAGGGCAGGGUGCUGGUUAACGGCCAGCCGAGGCGACUCGCGGGAAAGCGCCACAGAAAACAAACCGCCGGCGAAAGCCGGUAAGGGUGAAACGGUGCGGUAAGAGCGCACCGCGCUCCUGGCGACAGGGGCGGCACGGCAAGCCCCACCCGGAGAAAGAGCACAUAGGGGAGCAAUGCGGUGGCCCGCCGCGCUCCCGGGUAGCUCGCUGGAGGCCGGCAGCAAUGCCGGUCCUAGAGGAAUGUCCGCCUCCGCCGGGGAGGUAACGACCCGGCGAGACAGGACCCGGCUUACAGGGCGGCUCUGACC
rnacentral:RNase_P_RNA from 1 species